GAUGAACGCUGGCGGCGUGCUUAACACAUGCAAGUCGAACGAAGCACUUUAUUUGAUUUCCUUCGGGACUGAUUAUUUUGUGACUGAGUGGUGGACGGGUGAGUAACGCGUGGGUAACCCGCCUUGUACAGGGGGAUAACAGUUGGAAACGGCUGCUAAUACCGCAUAAGCGCACAGCAUCGUAUGACGCAGUGUGAAAAACUCCGGUGGUAUAAGAUGGACUCGCGUUGGAUUAGCUAGUUGGUGAGGUAACGGCCCACGAAGGCGACGAUCCAUAGCCGAGCUGAGAGGGUGACCGGCGACAUUGGGACUGGGACACGGCCCGGACUCCUACGGGAGGCGGCAAUGGGGGAUAUUGCACAGUGGGCGGAGGCCUGAUGCAGCGACGCCGCGUGAGCGAAGAAAUAUUUCGGUAAGUAAAGCUCUAUCAGCAGGGAAGAUAAUGGCGGUACCUGAAGAAGAAGCACCGGCUAAAUACGUG
rnacentral:rRNA from 1 species